GACGAACGCUGGCGGCGUGCUUAACACAUGCAAGUCGAGCGGUAAGGCCCUUUCGGGGGUACACGAGCGGCGAACGGGUGAGUAACACGUGGGUGACCUGCCCUCAGCUCUGGGAUAAGCCUGGGAAACCGGGUCUAAUACUGGAUAUGACUCCAUGACGCAUGUUGUGGGGUGGAAAGCCUUGUGCGGCUGAGGAUGGGCCCGCGGCCUAUCAGCUUGUUGGUGGGGUGANGGCCUACCAAGCCUACGAUGGGUAGCUGAUCUGAGAGGAUGAUCAGCCACACUGGAACUGAGACACGGUCCAGACUCCUACGGAGGCAGCAGUGAGGAAUAUUGCGCAAUGGCCGAAAGGCUGACGCAGCGACGCCGCGUGAAGGAUGAAGUCCGUUAGGACGUAAACUU
rnacentral:rRNA from 1 species